rnacentral:rRNA from 1 species
UACAGAGGGUGCGAGCGUUGUCCGGAAUCACUGGGCGUAAAGGGCGCGUAGGCGGCGCGGUAAGCGUGCGGUGAAAGCCCGGGGCUCAACCCCGGGUCGGCCGUGCGGACUGGGAGGCUGGAGCACGUCAGAGGCAGGCGGAAUUCCGGGUGUAGCGGUGGAAUGCGUAGAGAUCCGGAAGAACACCGGUGGCGAAGGCGGCCUGCUGGGACGUGGCUGACGCUGAGGCGCGACAGCGUGGGGAGCAAACGAGG